rnacentral:misc_RNA from 1 species
UAUAACUCAAAGGUAAUGGGCUACAUUUGCAAGGAGAGUGUCAGCUUACUUUCUAAUGUAAGUCAAGAACAAUCAUAUGAAAUUUCUCCAUAUAAAGUUUCAGAUGAUGAAGACGAGGAGGAAGAUGACAAUAUACCGAACAGUAAAUUUGUUCCUUCAUGGGCCAGUAAAAGUCACCUAGCCCCGGUUGUUUCAUCCCAGCCACGAUAUCCAGAAUCAAUUUUCCCCCAUGAUAGCUUUUGUAGUAUUGCUGAAGUUCUCUUGCCUAGAAAGCUUCAGCUAAAGUAGUGGGCAUGGUGAUAAAUUUGGACAACAUUAUAUUUGCAUUAUCUUGGCUCUUCAGUAGUUGGUUCUACCUCCUUUGUGUUCACAAAAAGAUUCUGAAAGACCAUUUUGCAGAAAAUUCAGGAGCAGGUGAUCUCCAUUUAGCACAUUUUAUAGCUUAAGAUUGUAAAUUUAUAAUAAUGUACAUUCUUAUGUAGAUUAGAUCUUUAGCAGAGUAAGCAUACUUGAACAAAAUAUCUAGUCGAUGACCUACUAAGGCACAUUUGAUUUGUUAACUGGCUGAAGGCUGAAGCAACUUAGUUGAGAAGAGAGUUUAUAUAUAAAUGAAGGUAAACUUGUCUUUAUCCAUAAAUAACAGGAUUCUUUAGUUGUUCAAAUUCGUGUAGUGAAUUGGAAUUUUAGGUAGAAAACAUCGAGAUAGAUGUGAUCUUCGUGCAAUAUCCAUCAUUCUCGGGAACUAAAUGCGUCUUGUCAUAGGGUCUUCAACACUAGUUCCAUGGAGUUCUGAGUUUGGUAUAUUUCAUAAUGUCUCUUGGUUGGCAACUCGCAACGACAGUUAUCCUCAUGAAGUUAGACCGUUUUGUAAGGCCAAGCUGGUUCUCAUUCGAAAUUAUCUACUUGGUCUAUCAUCAUCCAAAAGUCCAAACUCUUUCAUGGCUUGGAAGUAUUCUUGGAUUUUAACAAUAAAAGGAAGGUGAGCAGAGCAGUAUUUUCAUUCUUCUAACGGCUAAAUGACGUGUACUAGUACAAUUUUUCAUUUGAAUUAGUUAACCUGGGCCCAUGACUCACAUGAUGGCCUCCGCCAUUAUGGAAUCCUUGAGAAUUUAUUUUUAGUUUUG